rnacentral:lncRNA from 1 species
GGAGCAAGAAGAAUCCGGGUACCAUGUGAAGGCAGCACCUUAAUGCAGCAAAAGCCCUGAGCAGCUCCUCAGGAUUUGGUGGUGUGGAGUGCAGUGGCCAAGGGAAUGAGUUGGAACAGGCAGAAGUUACCUACAUUCUCCUCCACCACCUGUGGUAGCAAAGAAGGGAUUGACAUUGGCACUGAUGGGAAGGAGAGACUGCCGUGGUUUGCCCAAAAAUGAGACAGAACGUUUUCUUUCCUCCUGACGGAUAUGCAUUGGAAACAGGCAAAAGCUGAGAUUGGGAAGGUGAUGAGAGAAACAAUACAACCAGAACCCCGUCUCCACAAUCUGAAGUAAAGAAGAAAUCUUACAUCAUGGAUAAACUCAUUUUUCUGCUGAUGAUGGAUGAAGGGUGAGUUUAUGCAUGAGCUAUUGCUGUUUAUAGUUCCAGGGACGCUGAAUUACAAAUGCAGAUGAGGGCUGUAUUUUAACACUUGGGAAACAACUUUCUGAACCCCUUGGCAGGGCUGUUGAACUAAACACAAAGCUUUUAUCUCUCUGAAUCUCUCAGGGCAUAUUAAUCCUUCACUUAGAGGUUUGUCAGAUGAAAAGCUGUUUGAAGGGUUUGCUAUUGUUUUGAUUGUGUCUGGAUUGUAUUGGUGCUGUGUACAGAUCACAUAAAGGCGGAGUCAGGAGUCCCGGAAAGCUCCUGCUGGGAGAGACCAGGGCUGGAGGGACCGGUGAUUUGACAGCCCCGCGUUUCUUAUGCUCUUAGGCUCGUUGGAUCCUACAAAUCCUUACUUACCAAGCAAUCUUCUCCCAUGUAAGUAGCUUUGAGCACUCAGGAAAUACAGGAAUCUUUAUCUGA